rnacentral:lncRNA from 1 species
UGGGCAACACAGUGAGACCUCCUCUCUAUUAUUAACAUAAUAAUAAUAAUAAAGAAAUUGAAAAAAAGAAAGCACCACUGCAAAUAUUCCAGUUGAUUCGCCCUGCCCUCAAAAGACAUGUGUCACACCAAGCAACUAACACCCAUGUUGUAACUGCCCCAGAGGAAAGACGUUCAACGGCUGAGGAGACCACAGCGGCAACUAGGUCACUUCCUAUUCGAAGAAAAAGGAGGAGAUGCCAUCUGGCAAAUUCGAGGUCCUUCCAAAGUGCCUACGGAAAGCUUUGUCCCAUCCUUGAAAAAUUGCUAAUGGGUUUGGAGAUACGAGGUGGAGAUGACUAGCAAUCAAACUCAAAGGUGGAAGUCACAUCGAGGCAGAUGAGCAGAUGAGGGGACCUAGAGAAGAAGAGAGGUGCAAGGAGAGCCCAGCCAGCAGGAACAUCUGCCCCAGUAGGCAGCACUGCCCCACAUCAGAGUCGAGGAAAGCAAAGCUCGGAUUGGAUAAAAGAAACUUGCAAACACGGUCAGUGCUUACUGCAUGUGGGCUCAGAGCACGUUACCCUCCUUCCCUGCAUGUUCCUGUGAAACGGGUUUACUGCUCUAACUCUCAGGGACACUGUGAAGACCAAACGAGAAAAUAGAAACAAACAUAAUUUAUAAACCAUAAAGUACUGACACCAAAAGAGGGGCGAGCACAGCAUUGUGAAUGUGCUGGUACUAAAUGGUUUGUUUUAAGAUGAUUUUAUGGUGUGUGAAUUUCACUUGAAUAAAUUUUUUUAAUGGAGUUCA